rnacentral:rRNA from 1 species
GAUCAUGGCUCAGGAUGAACGCUGGCGGCGUGCUUAACACAUGCAAGUCGAGCGAAGCACAUAAGUUUGAUUCUUCGGAUGAAGACUUUUGUGACUGAGCGGCGGACGGGUGAGGUAACGCGUGGGUAACCUGCCUCAUACAGGGGGAUAACAGUUAGAAAUGGCUGCUAAUACCGCAUAAGACCACAGUACUGCAUGGUACAGUGGUAAAAACUCCGGUGGUAUGAGAUGGACCCG